GGCCUUCUGGACAGUACUGACGCUGAGAUGCGAAAGCGUGGGGAGCAAACAGGAUUAGAUACCUGGUAGUCACGCUGUAAACGAUGUCGAUUUGGAGUUUGUUGCCUAGAGUGAUGGGCUCCGAAGCUAACGCGAUAAAUCGACCGCUGGGGAGUACGGCCGCAAGGUUAAAACUCAAAUGAAUUGACGGGGGCCCGCACAAGCGGUGGAGCAUGUGGUUUAAUUCGAUGCAACGCGAAGAACCUUACCUGGUCUUGACACCCAUAGAAUUCUGCAGAUAUGUGGGAGUGCCUUCGGGAACUAUGAGACAGGUGCUGCAUGGCUGUCGUCAGCUCGUGUUGUGAAAUGUUGGGUUAAGUCCCGCAACGGGCGCAACCCUUAUUCUUUGUUGCCAGCGAUUUGGUCGGGAACUCAAAGGAGACUGCCGUUGAUAAAGCGGAGGAAGGUGGGGGCGACGUCAAGUCAUCAUGGCCCUUACGACCAGGGCUACACACGUGCUACAAUGGCGUAUACAAAGGGAAGCGAAGGUGCGAGCUGGAGCGGAUCUCAUAAAGUACGUCUAAGUUCGGAUUGGAGUCUGCAACUCGACUCCAUGAAGUCGGAAUCGCUAGUAAUCGUAGAUCAGAAUGCUACGGUGAAUACGUUCCCGGGCCUUGUACACACCGCCCGUCACACCAUGGGAGUGGGUUGCACCAGAAGUAGAUAGCUUAACCGCGAGGGGGGCGUUUGCCACGGUGUGAUUCAUGACUGGGGUGAAGUCGUAACAAGGUAACCA
rnacentral:rRNA from 1 species